UACAGAGGUCUCAAGCGUUGUUCGGAAUUACUGGGCGUAAAGUGUGCGCAGGCGGCAGAGCAAGUCGAGUGUGAAAGCCCCGGGCUUAACUUGGGAAUUGCGCUCGAAACUACUUUGCUGGAGUGUGGCAGAGGAAGGUGGAACUCCACGUGUAGCGGUGAAAUGCGUAGAGAUGUGGAGGAACACCAAUGGCGAAGGCAGCCUUCUGGGCCAACACUGACGCUCAUGCACGAAAGCGUGGGGAGCAAACAGG
rnacentral:rRNA from 1 species